rnacentral:rRNA from 1 species
UACGUGGAAGACGAGUGUUAUUCAUCUCUAUCAGGUUUAAAGGGUACCUAGACCGGAAGUAAAGCCGUAAUUGGAACUAAUUUCCUAGAGUUUUAUGUGUGAAUGAUGGAACUAUCUGUGGAGCGAUUAAAUGCUAUGAUACCGGUGGGACCGUGUGCGGCGAAAGCAAUAUUCUAUGUAAAAACUGACGUUGAGGGACGAAGGCUUGGGGAGCGAAAAGG